UAUUUAAAAGUCCAUUGGAGAUUAUGGGGUCGUGUGACAAGCGGUCGGGCGUGUUGCUUUUUUGGUCUUCACGGCCAGGGCGCCGCCCGUCGCCCCCGGAAAAGAUUUCUGUGCGCCGGCGUCGUAUGCGCGAGACUUCGGUCCCGUAUCGUCCCGCGUACGCCUUUUUCGGCUCGCGGCAUCCAGGAAUGAAGGAGGGUAGUCCGGGGGAGAACGUAUUGGUGCGUCAGAGGUGAAAUUCUUGGACCGCACCAGGACGGACUACAGCGAAGGCAUUCUUCAAGAAUACCUUCCUCAAUCAAGAACCAAAGUGUGGGGAUCGAAGAU
rnacentral:rRNA from 1 species